rnacentral:rRNA from 1 species
GACGAACGCUGGCGGCGUGCUUAAUACAUGCAAGUAGAACGCUGAAGCUACGAGCUUGUUCUUCUUGGAAGAGUUGCGAGCGGGUGAGUAACGCGUAGGUAACCUGCCUUGUAGCGGGGUAUACCUAGUGGAAACGGUAGCUAAUACCGUAUAACCAUUCUUCACAUAUGUCAUGUAUUUAAGAGGGUCAGUUUCUCCUCUACAAGAUGGACCUCCGUUGUAUUAGCGAGUAGUUGAGGUAAUGGCUCACCUAGGCGACGAUACAUAGCCGACCUGAGAGGGUGAGUGGCCAGACUGGGACUGAGACACGGCCCAGAGUGAUACGGGAGGCAGCAGGAGGGAAUCGUGGGGCAGGGGGGCAAAACUGAGCGAGAAGCGCCGAGGGCGUGUACAAGGUUGUCGGAUGGUAAAGGUCGGUUGUAAGUUAAGAACGGGCGUGAGGGUGGAAAGUUCAGACUGUGACGGUAGCUGAACAGAAAGCGACGGCUAACUACGUG